UUUCAAAAUCUAAUACAGGGUUUUAAAGCUAAAAAAAAUACGAAGACAAUGAUAACGGGCUUAGUAAAAUAAAAAAUCUUCGGAGAGUACACACAAAUUGGGCCCUAAAGAUGUAAAUCCUAAACCCAUUCAUUGCUAGACCAUUAAAUGUAAGGGCGUACACUUCAAAAUCUCUAUAAAGCGAGUGGAGUCUUGUGUUUGUAAGGGCGUACACUUCAAAAUCUCCUCUUUCACCUCCCUUCUACUCCAAGAUAUGUUUCAGGGGAUUAUAGUCCAAGGAUUAAUGCGAGGCCAGUGACUGCUCCAGUGACCAUUCCUUCUUCAUCUACGUUUGAUAGGAAUCCACUCCCUCCUUUUUCCCCAAGAAGCACGAGACGCUCCACUUCAUCCCAGGUUUCUUUUCCUGGGAUUGCAUUUUACAAGAGCUCCAGAAGCGGAGACUCUCCUUCUGGAUUUAUGAACCAAUACCCUGGCCACAAGCUGACAAAGGACAGCAAAUAAGAUUCAGGCAGGUUCUCUGGACUUCUGUCUUCAAGUGGCUCACCAAGAUUCGGGUUUUCGAGGAGCCCGAGUAGAUUUUCUUCUGCAGAUGAUUUGGAUGAACCUGAUUGUUCAUGCCCUUUUGAUUUCGAUGAUGUUGACGAAUCAGGACUCCAGUACAGCAAAAGUCUUGACCGAAGGAAAACUUCAAGCUCUAUAUCACAGUCGCUACCUAUAGGGAGAAAGUCACAGGACGCAGCGGUUGGAGUUCUCGUUCAAAUGUUGAAGACAGCACCACCAUUACGACAAGACUCGAGCACUUACAUGGCGUCAAUGUAUGGGGUUGAGAGAGAAGGUUCAGAGUCAGGCACAGAAUCUGAAUUUUCCAUGGCUCGAAGUACAUCAGAUGCACUAGAGGAACUGAUAAACUACAAGCAGCUCAAAGACUUGCUUCUCUCUAAAUCCAAGAGUGUUGGUGGAGCAACUCCUGUUCACUAAGCCAUAAGAGCAAGCAAGAUAUGAGUUAAUGGGAUAAAUGUUUGUAAUUUGUACAUAUGGAUUUGAUAACGAAUACUGAGCUCCCGUUUUAGUUUCUGUAAAAGAACCUUUGUGCAAACAAAACAAAGUUUCUGUAAAUGAACUACUUUCAAUAUGCACUUAAAAGAUGUUUUGUAACACAAAUGUCACACUAAAAUAAAACGUACACCAGAAACACACACAGAAAAAGCCUCAACAGCUUCAAAUCCAUCCACGCCUAAACAUCUACGGAUUCAGGCAUUUGCAAGCUUUCACCAAUAUCUUUGUGCACAAAAUAAAGCUUCAAAGCCUUUGCCUUUACAAAAAAAAACUGUCAUCCAUCUCCUGCACAACUAA